rnacentral:tRNA from 1 species
GGAGGGGUGGCCGAGUGGUUGAAGGCGGCGGUCUUGAAAACCGCUAGGCGCAAGCCUCGAGGGUUCGAAUCCUUCCCCCUCCGCCA